UACGUAGGGUGCAAGCGUUGUCCGGAAUUAUUGGGCGUAAAGGGCUCGUAGGCGGUCCAUCGCGUCGGGGGUGAAAAGCUGGGGCUUAACCCCAGUCCUGCUUCCGAUACGGGUGGACUAGAGGUAGGCAGGGGAGAACGGAAUUCCUGGUGUAGCGGUGAAAUGCGCAGAUAUCAGGAGGAACACCGGUGGCGAAGGCGGUUCUCUGGGCCUUACCUGACGCUGAGGAGCGAAAGCGUGGGGAGCGAACAGG
rnacentral:rRNA from 1 species